rnacentral:rRNA from 1 species
AUACGUAGGUGGCAAGCGUUGUCCGGAGUUAUUGGGCGUAAAGCGCGCGCAGGCGGUCCUUUAAGUCUGAUGUGAAAGCCCACGGCUCAACCGUGGAGGGUCAUUGGAAACUGGGGGACUUGAGUGCAGAAGAGGAAAGUGGAAUUCCAAGUGUAGCGGUGAAAUGCGUAGAGAUUUGGAGGAACACCAGUGGCGAAGGCGACUUUCUGGUCUGUAACUGACGCUGAGGCGCGAAAGCGUGGGGAGCAAACAGGAUUAGAUACCCUGGUAGUCCACGCCGUAAACGAUGAGUGCUAAGUGUUAGGGGGUUUCCGCCCCUUAGUGCUGCAGCUAACGCAUUAAGCACUCCGCCUGGGGAGUACGGUCGCAAGACUGAAACUCAAAGGAAUUGACGGGG